GUCGAACGAUGAACCACUUCGGUGGGGAUUAGUGGCGAACGGGUGAGUAACACGUGGGCAAUCUGCCCUUCACUCUGGGACAAGCCCUGGAAACGGGGUCUAAUACCGGAUAAUACUUCCACUCUCCUGAGUGGUGGUUGAAAGCUCCGGCGGUGAAGGAUGAGCCCGCGGCCUAUCAGCUUGUUGGUGAGGUAAUGGCUCACCAAGGCGACGACGGGUAGCCGGCCUGAGAGGGCGACCGGCCACACUGGGACUGAGACACGGCCCAGACUCCUACGGGAGGCAGCAGUGGGGAAUAUUGCACAAUGGGCGAAAGCCUGAUGCAGCGACGCCGCGUGAGGGAUGACGGCCUUCGGGUUGUAAACCUCUUUCAGCAGGGAAGAAGCGAAAGUGACGGUACCUGCAGAAGAAGCGCCGGCUAACUACGUGCCAGCAGCCGCGGUAAUACGUAGGGCGCAAGCGUUGUCCGGAAUUAUUGGGCGUAAAGAGCUCGUAGGCGGCUUGUCACGUCGGGUGUGAAAGCCCGGGGCUUAACCCCGGGUCUGCAUUCGAUACGGGCAGGCUAGAGUGUGGUAGGGGAGAUCGGAAUUCCUGGUGUAGCGGUGAAAUGCGCAGAUAUCAGGAGGAACACCGGUGGCGAAGGCGGAUCUCUGGGCCAUUACUGACGCUGAGGAGCGAAAGCGUGGGGAGCGAACAGGAUUAGAUACCCUGGUAGUCCACGCCGUAAACGGUGGGAACUAGGUGUUGGCGACAUUCCACGUCGUCGGUGCCGCAGCUAACGCAUUAAGUUCCCCGCCUGGGGAGUACGGCCGCAAGGCUAA
rnacentral:rRNA from 1 species